AGAGUUUGAUCCUGGCUCAGGACGAACGCUGGCGGCGUGCCUAAUACAUGCAAGUCGAGCGGAGCUUGCAUGCGGAAGCCUUCGGGUGGAAGCGUGCGGGCUUAGCGGCGAACGGGUGAGUAACACGUAGGCAACCUGCCCGCAAGACCGGGAUAACAUCCGGAAACGGAUGCUAAUACCGGAUAGACAGCCUGGCCGCAUGGCGGGGCUGGGAAAGGCGGGGCAACCUGCCGCUUGCGGAUGGGCCUGCGGCGCAUUAGCUAGUUGGCGGGGUAACGGCCCACCAAGGCGACGAUGCGUAGCCGGCCUGAGAGGGUGACCGGCCACACUGGGACUGAGACACGGCCCAGACUCCUGCGGGAGGCAGCAGUAGGGAAUCUUCCACAAUGGGCGAAAGCCUGAUGGAGCGACGCCGCGUGAGUGAGGAAGGCCUUCGGGUCGUAAAGCUCUGUUGCCAGGGAAGAAGGCCCUGGAGAGUAACUGCUCCGGGGGUGACGGUACCUGAGAAGAAAGCCCCGGCUAACUACGUGCCAGCAGCCGCGGUAAUACGUAGGGGGCGAGCGUUGUCCGGAAUUAUUGGGCGUAAAGCGCGCGCAGGCGGUCCUUUAAGUCUGGUGUUUAAGAGCGGGGCUCAACCCUGCUGCGCACUGGAAACUGGAGGACUUGAGUGCAGCAGAGGGAAGCGGAAUUCCAUGUGUAGCGGUGAAAUGCGUAGAGAUAUGGAGGAACACCAGUGGCGAAGGCGGCUUUCUGGGCUGUAACUGACGCUGAGGCGCGAAAGCGUGGGGAGCAAACAGGAUUAGAUACCCUGGUAGUCCACGCCGUAAACGAUGAGUGCUAGGUGUCGGAGGGGAUAUGCCUUUCGGUGCCGAAGUUAACACAUUAAGCACUCCGCCUGGGGAGUACGGCCGCAAGGCUGAAACUCAAAGGAAUUGACGG
rnacentral:rRNA from 1 species